GGGGUGAGAGAGGUGAGAAUGUGAGGACCAAGGAAUCACUGAUGGCAUUGAAGAUCGUGGGGUGAAUUCCAAAUGUUGUAAAGUUCAAGGUGCCUCACCUCAUGAGCAAUCUGGAAAUUGACUCUGUGCUGACAGACUCAUGUCAGCCAACAGUGAAGGCAAGAAUUCAGAGACAAACUUCCUAAUUAUCAUACCAAUUCGAUUUUGGCUGCAUCCAUGACCUUGCUCUCCAUGACUUAACUGAGAACAUUGACGGACAUUUUACCUCCAGUUUGAGAAUUCAACAUAUGAUUUGUUAAACAAGGGGGAUGUCUGAACAUUUCAGAGCUUAGAGUGAGCUGUUUUUCACAGACCAAAUGACCUGUCAGUCUAUUCAGCCAUGUGUGACUAUUGUUCAUUGAAAGUGACCCAGUUCCCUACAAAGGUUUCGCCAUCUGGAAAACAUAAGCUGUCCAAGGGAAGGGGCGUUGAUGAGCAAGUGACUCCAACGCUCUGGAGGCUAUGAGUUUGCUUCCUUAAAGGCAAGCACUAUUUUGGUACUUGCCAAGUUAUAUUCUUCAACGAGACCUAAGUAGACUUCCAAUAACAGCUAACGUUGACAAUAUCUUAUCCUUUCAAAUAUGACAUAAAGACUUCACAUGACUUAACUCAUUUAAUCCUUGGUACAGUCAUUAUUAACAAUUCUCAAUCUAAUCAUGACAAAACAGGUUGACAUAGAGACUCCAGCUAAAUUAUCCAGUGUUCAUGUGACAAAGACAUUAGUUAGGAUUGCUCCAGAGCUCACUUCCAACUGGCUCUCAAGUGGACAUUCACAGUUACCCAUGCUAAUAAUGUCAAUGGCUACAGCGUUCUCACAUCAUCCUCACAAUGUGCUUAACAGUUUUGACUAGUGAAAAUUAUUGUAACCAUUGUUCACUUAGAUAAAGAUGUUUG
rnacentral:lncRNA from 1 species